rnacentral:rRNA from 1 species
AGACCAGUAUGAAUGGCAAGACGAAAGUUCAACUGUCUCCCUAAAUUAAUCAAUGAAAUUGAUUUUUCCGUGCAGAAGCGGAAAUAUAAUUAUAAGACGAGAAGACCCUAUGGAGCUUUAAACAUAUGAUCAACUGCAUAAUAUAAAAUUCAAAAGAUAAAAUAUUUAAUAAAACAGUAUGAUCAAAAUUUUAGGUUGGGGCGACCACGGAGAAAAACAAAACCUCCGAGAUGAAAAGAAUAUCUUAAUUCAAGAACUACAAUUCUAAAAAAUAAAAUAUUUAACAUAAUUGAUCCAAUAUAUUGAUCAACGAACCAAGUUACCCUAGGGAUAACAGCGCAAUCCUCUCCAAGAGUCCCUAUCGACGAGCGGGUUUACGACCUCGAUGUUGGAUCAGGACACCCCAAUGGUGCAGCCGCUAUUAAAGGUUCGUUUGUUCAACGAUUAAAGUCCUACGUGAUC